AUUGAACGCUGGCGGCAUGCUUUACACAUGCAAGUCGAACGGUAACAGGGAGCUUGCUCCGCUGACGAGUGGCGAACGGGUGAGUAAUGCGUCGGAACGUGCCGAGUAGUGGGGGAUAACGCAUCGAAAGGUGUGCUAAUACCGCAUACGAACUGAGGUUGAAAGUGGGGGACCUUCGGGCCUCACGCUAUUCGAGCGGCCGACGUCUGAUUAGCUAGUUGGUGAGGUAAAGGCUCACCAAGGCGACGAUCAGUAGCGGGUCUGAGAGGAUGAUCCGCCACACUGGGAAUGAUGCACGGCCCAGGCUCAGACGGGAGGCAGCAGUGGGGAAUUUUGGACAAUGGGCGCAAGCCUGGUCCAGCCAUGCCGCGUGUCUGAAGAAGGCCUUCGGGUUGUAAAGGACUUUUGUCCGGGAGCAAAUGCUGGUGGCUAACAUCCACCGGAGCUGAGAGUACCGGAAGAAUAAGCACCGGCUAACUACGUGCCAGCCGCCGCAGUAACAC
rnacentral:rRNA from 1 species